UCCAGACUCCUACGGGAGGCAGCAGUGAGGAAUAUUGGUCAAUGGGCUUACGCCUGAACCAGCCAAGUCGCGUGAGGGAAGACUGCCCUAUGGGUUGUAAACCUCUUUUGUCGGGGAGCAAGGCCCGCCACGUGUGGCGGGAAGGAGAGUACCCGAAGAAAAAGCAUCGGCUAACUCCGUGCCAGCAGCCGCGGUAAUACGGAGGAUGCGAGCGUUAUCCGGAUUUAUUGGGUUUAAAGGGUGCGUAGGCGGAAGGUUAAGUCAGCGGUCAAAUGUCGGUGCUCAACACCGGCCUGCCGUUGAAACUGGUCUUCUUGAGUGAGCGAGAAGUAUGCGGAAUGCGUGGUGUAGCGGUGAAAUGCAUAGAUAUCACGCAGAACUCCGAUUGCGAAGGCAGCAUACCGGCGCUCAACUGACGCUGAGGCACGAAAGCGUGGGGAUCGAACAGGAUUAGAUACCCGUGUAUUA
rnacentral:rRNA from 1 species